rnacentral:rRNA from 1 species
UACGAGGGGGGCGAGCGUUGUUCGGAAUUAUUGGGCGUAAAGGGCGCGUAGGCGGCUCAUGAAGGCUGUGGUGAAAGUCCGGGGCUCAACCUCGGAUCGGCCGUGGCGACUCGUGGGCUGGAGCACUGUAGAGGCGGGUGGAAUUCCGGGUGUAGCGGUGGAAUGCGUAGAGAUCCGGAAGAACACCAGUGGCGAAGGCG